rnacentral:tRNA from 1 species
GCAUUAAUAACUCAACGUAGAGUGCCGGCCUUGUAAGCCGGAUGUUGAAGGUUAAAGCCCUUCUUAUUGCU